UAUGGAGUCCAGCAUCAUCAGGACAGCGUGUCUCCUUUCCACAGGGCUGAGCCAUGCAGAGCCUUGCUUAAAGAAGGUGGCCUACGCAGAUAUGAGGAACUGCUGUGCAUCGCUUCUUCAGGGGGAAGUACCUGGUUAUCUCUACCCUUAUUGCCUUCUGGUCAUGUGGAGUCCAGCCCUAGGAGCAGCUACAGAUGCUUGAAGGGAAUUAGCAGAGAGGAUGACUGUGACAGACAUUAUUACAAGGGUAACAGCCAGAAACCGUGGUGCUGCAAAUUCAGGUUCGACAGUAGGAAAAACCCUGCCCUGGAGUGGUGCAGCCUUCAGAGAUGUGGGGGGUUUCUGUCCUCGGAGAUUUCCAAAGACCCUUCCCACCAGCGCGCAUCAUGCUGUGGGUCAGAGGUUUGCAAUAAGGCAGUGCAGGCCGUGACCAGGCCGCACACUUCACAGAAACACAGCCAUCCACGCAAGGCCCAGCUGCUGCUGGGAAAAUCGUUGUGUUGUAUUCUGCCACUUACAGAUUGCUCAGGCACUGCUCAACACUACACCGUUUCCCUCUGUUCCCUGCACACACUGAAAGGCUCUCCCAAAACUGCACUCCUCCCUGAGCUGGUACUUUCUAUACGAAAUGUAGGCAGUUUCCCCUCACCCCUGGCUAGGCUGUCUGCACCGAGUCCUCGUCUCCUUCGUGCAGUGGCCUUUCUGCCCCUAUGCACCCCAUGA
ensembl:lncRNA